UGCCUAACACAUGCAAGUCGAGCGCGAAAGGCCUUCGGGCUGAGUAAAGCGGCGAACGGGUGAGUAAAGCGUGAGAAUCUACCCUUCAGUGAAGGAUACCUUCGAGAAAUCGGAGUUAAUACUGCAUUCGUCCCUUCGGGGAGAAAGAUGGCCUCUUUGCUGUCGCUGAUUGAUGAGCUUACGUACUAUUAGCUAGUUGGUAGGGUAAAGGCCUACCAAGGCGAUGAUGGUUAGCCGGCCUGAGAGGGUGUACGGCCACACUGGAACUUAGACACGGUCCAGACUCCUACGGGAGGCAGCAGUGAGGAGUCUUGCACAAUGGGCGAAAGCCUGAUGCAGCGACGCCGCGUGGAGGAUGGAGGUCUUCGGAUUGUAAACUUC
rnacentral:rRNA from 1 species